rnacentral:rRNA from 1 species
AAGACCUUGCACUUUUGGAGCGGCCGAUGUCUGAUUAGCUAGUUGGUGGGGUAAAGGCCUACCAAAGCUUCGAUCAGUAGCUGGUCUGAGAGGACGGCCAGCCACACUGGGACUGAGACACGGCCCAGACUCCUACGGGAGGCAGCAGUGGGGAAUUUUGGACAAUGGGCGCAAGCCUGAUCCAGCCAUGCCGCGUGAGUGAAGAAGGCCUUCGGGUUGUAAAGCUCUUUCAGCCGGGAAGAAAAGGCUGCGACUAAUAAUCGCAGUUCAUGACGGUACCGGAAGAAGAAGCACCGGCUAACUACGUGCCAGCAGCCGCGGUAAUACGUAGGGUGCGAGCGUUAAUCGGAAUUACUGGGCGUAAAGAGUGCGCAGGCGGUUUUGUAAGUCAGAUGUGAAAUCCCCGGGCUUAACCUGGGAACU